rnacentral:rRNA from 1 species
GGGGGGGGGGGGGGGGGGGGGUGGGGCGGGCGAGGGGGGCGGGGGGGGGCGGGGGUGGGGGGGGGCGCGAGGGGGGAGGGGGGGAGUAACGGGUGGGUAACCGGCCCUGGACGUUGGGGUGACUUCAGGAGACUGGGGAGAAAACGGGCUGUGAGCGCCUUCUGAAUGGUGGGGUUUGGAAAAUUUCGGCGGGUGGGGAUGGACUCGCGGCUUAUCAGCUGUCUUGUGGGGGAUGGGCUUACCAAGGCUGUGACGGGUAGCCGGCAUGAGAGGGUGACCGGCCACAUUGGUACUGAGAUACGGCCCAGACUCCUACGGGAGGCAGCAGUGGGGAAUAUUGCACAAUGGGCGGAAGCCUGAUGCAGCAACGCCGCGUGCGGGAUGACGGCCUUCGGGUUGUAAACCGCUUUCGCCUGUGACGAAGCGUGAGUGACGGUAAUGGGUAAAGAAGCACCGGCUAACUACGUG